GGUUUUGAUGUGCAAAGUCCUUUACAGCAUGGGACCAGGAUACCUGAAGGACCAUCUUGCGCCUUAUAUACCCAACCAAUCACUGUGCUGCACUUGAGAGCCUCUUGCAGACACCAUCAAGAUGUCUGUUCUGCGCAAGGAGGUUCAGCAAAGCUAAAAACAUAGAUACUGUAUUCAAUCACUUAACUUCCCUGACACUGAAGAAACUCUCCUUUGGUUUUUCUGAAUGUACGAGCUUUCAGGAAUGCUGCGACAGAAUCUGAAGAAGCUUGGAAGCGCCACAGAAUGCAAAGCCAUUGUUUCUUCUCUGCUAUCAUCAAAAAAGGUGAAGAAUGGACCUUCUGAAGGGCGAACACUCCUGGUAGAGAGUGAGCACACAUCUCUUCGCUGUGAGGAGCUGCAACAUAAAGAAUCCCACCAAGAGGGAGAACCUUGUAUCUUUUUGAUAUUGGGUGAAAGGCACACUUGUGAAUAAAUUGUUCCAUGGCAAUUUUGGCAACUGACAAUGUUCUUCUUCAGCGCAAACAACGGACGUGACUGAUUUCAAGUUCGGAGUGGCCUUGCGGGAGUCUUCAGCAACUGCUUUCCAGUGCAAGUCUCUGUCAGUCACCAAUCUGAGUUGAAAUCUCAGUCCAAAUAAAAGCCUAUUGACUUGGUAGUCUUGCCUUUCUGUCUUCUAAGGCAUUAUGACACCAUCUACUUUAUCAGUGAGGAUCCCAGCUGCAAGUGGUUGGGCAUGUGGAUGGGAUUAUGCCAUUGAGAGAGAGAGAUGGCGCAUUGUAG